GGAAGACCUACUAAUUUGAUCAUUACUCAGAAAAGCCUGUAAGUAGAUACUGUCUAAAGAAGGGGUUAACAGAUAUGGAGCACAGGCUAAAUCGGGCCCUCACCUAUAUCAUCUGCAGGUAAAAGUUACUGAAACAUAGCCACACUCAUUUGUUACAUAUCUACAGCUGCUGUUCUAUAAUAUCCAAGUGAGAUUUAGAUUUUAAGAAAAUCUGUACUUUAAAAUUUAAAGGGGUUAAUUAUGAAAGGAAAUUACAAACUAGCAGAGAAGAAAAAUUGGGAAAAUAUCAGAAGUAUAAUUGAACAAAAGGUAUGAAAAGAGAAAAAAUAGCCUAGAAAUUACAAUGUUAUCAAAAUCUGUGGGAUAAGGCUGAAAGGGCACCCAAAGAAAAAAUGUAUACCUCACGUAAGCAAACUGUUAAUUAAUCUAGAAAAAUUAUAAUAUAUGCAAAAUAAGAAAAAAGUAAAAUUACUCCAAUUUGUAGAUACAAUUUAGAAGAGACUGUAUCAUUUAGCAGCGAAAAGUAUGUAACAGACGAAAUGGUUAUCUUUUAAGAAAAAUGUAAAUUGAGUUCAGAUGCCAACCUAAGCAGAUAAAUUAAUAUAGAAAAAACAAAGUUGUCAAAAUGCACCAAGCAUGGAUUUUUUAAUUAUUUAAUUAAAUCUUAAAAAAAGAAAAAAUACCACAUGACUCUAUUUAUAGAUGCUUAAAAAGCAUUUAGUAAAACUUGCUAUUAUUCUGAAAUAGGAAAAAAAGGUCUAAAGGAGUAGGGGAAGUGGGAGGAGUAGGGGAAAGGAAAGAAGGGAGAAAAAAAUAUGAGAAAAGGAAAAAAAUGGAAACAAAGUCUUUGUAAAUAGGGAAGGGUGGAGGGGCUGAAGGGAUGGCAGGGGAAUGGGGAAAAAAAUAAGAACCAAGAUACAUCAUAUAAAGGCACAAGAUUCCAAUGAUGAAUGUAACUGUAUUGUAUACCUAAAAUGUACCAAUAAACUUAAUGGAAAAAAAAAACAACUUGAUAUUUCACUGAAAGCAUUCUUACCACACACAAGAAAGUACAGUUUCAUGCUAUUUAUGUUUUACUAGGUAUUUUAUGUGGUACUAGGAUUUGAAUCAGGCAAGGGAAAGAGUUAUAAAAUAAGAGGAACAGGUAAAUUAUUAAUAUUUUAAAUGACAAAAUUCUGAACCUAACAGUGUGAGAAAUAAUUAGAAGCAGCAAAUAAUCAGCAUGCAGAAGGUCAUAGCCUUCGAAUACACUAACAAUAAUAACCAGGUGGGGGAUAAAAGACCAAAUACCAUAUGUAACAUGACAAAAUCAAAUAUAGUGUUUGGAAAAAAAAUUAAAACGUCAAAAGACAAAUGACAAAGUGAAAAUUCUUUCAAAAUCAUGGUAAACAAAAGGCUAAUUCUUCUAACAUAUGAAAAAC
rnacentral:lncRNA from 1 species